rnacentral:rRNA from 1 species
GACGAACGCUGGCGGCGUGCCUAAUACAUGCAAGUAGAACGCACAGUUUAUACCGUAGCUUGCUACACCAUAAACUGUGAGUUGCGAACGGGUGAGUAACGCGUAGGUAACCUGCCUGGUAGCGGGGGAUAACUAUUGGAAACGAUAGCUAAUACCGCAUAAUAUUGAUUAUUGCAUGAUAAUUGAUUGAAAGAUGCUAUUGCAUCACUACCAGAUGGACCUGCGUUGUAUUAGCUAGUAGGUGAGGUAACGGCUCACCUAGGCGACGAUACAUAGCCGACCUGAGAGGGUGAUCGGCCACACUGGGACUGAGACACGGCCCAGACUCCUACGGGAGGCAGCAGUAGGGAAUCUUCGGCAAUGGACGAAAGUCUGACCGAGCAACGCCGCGUGAGUGAAGAAGGUUUUCGGAUCGUAAAGCUCUGUCGUAAGAGAAGAACGGGUGUGAGAGUGGAAAGUUCACAAUGUGACGGUAUCUUACCAGAAAGGGACGGCUAACUACGUG